CUACACGGAGUAGAAGAUCAAGAUGUAGAAUGAUCCAGCACCCUGGACACAAGAGAUUUUAAUCACAUACAAUGCCAUUGACGAAGAGCAGCACGAAGACAAUGUCAAGAUUGGUGACGAGAUGGAGUUGCUUGCAUCACACUCCGUGCACGACGAAGACGGCGAGACCCGCGCUCAACGAAACCACAGCCGUCACAGAAACACGUCCUAGCAACAACAGGCGUCUCAACCACCGGUGCCCCUAUUCGGAGGAGGCCAUGUCAGGAGAGGUUGGCACUACCACGGCCGUUCCUUCAUGUGACACAGGCACCGAUGGACCAUGAGCCGUCUAUCACUUUUCGUGCUUUGUAAUCUUGUUGUGUCGGUGGGCUACCACCUCCUAUCUGUUCGACCUCAGUUAAGGGCCCCCCUGCAAGUAGCCUCCCACUAGAAUGCACAUCAUUUUUUACACAUUCUAGUAGAUAUUGCUCGCGCCAUUACCCCAAACUACAAAUUCACGUGGAAGGAAAGUACCAUUCUUGUGUUUGUCGCUUUCCCUUUGCCUCCUAAUCGUAUGUGUCUACUAUGAUUUUGUAGUUUCGAUUCAUCAUCUCCUAAGUUCAUGUGCUCAGCAUAAUUACUACAUUAUGAAAAUCUUCAAUUGGAUAAUUAAGUUGCACCGAAGUGUAAAGUCUUGUGGAACGAGAGAUGACUCGC
rnacentral:lncRNA from 1 species